rnacentral:rRNA from 1 species
GACGAACGCUGGCGGCGUGCUUAACACAUGCAAGUCGAACGGAAAGGCCCUGCUUGCAGGGUACUCGAGUGGCGAACGGGUGAGUAACACGUGGGUGAUCUGCCCUGCACUUCGGGAUAAGCCUGGGAAACUGGGUCUAAUACCGGAUAGGAGCCAUUUUUAGUGUGAUGGUUGGAAAGUUUUUUCGGUGUAGGAUGAGCUCGCGGCCUAUCAGCUUGUUGGUGGGGUAAUGGCCUACCAAGGCGGCGACGGGUAGCCGGCCUGAGAGGGUGGACGGCCACAGUGGGACUGAGAUACGGCCCAGACUCCUACGGGAGGCAGCAGUGGGGAAUAUUGCACAAUGGGCGCAAGCCUGAUGCAGCGACGCCGCGGGGGGGAUGACGGCCUUCGGGUUGUAAACUCCUUUCGCUAGGGACGAAGCUUUUUGUGACGGUACCUAGAUAAGAAGCACCGGCUAACUACGUG